rnacentral:lncRNA from 1 species
AAAAAGUUGGCGGAAGACAAAAAAAAAAAAAAAAAAUAUAAUAAUAAUAAUAAUUAAAAACCAAUUGUUCAGAGAACAAUUGAAGGUCUUUCAACCAAAAAGGAUCUAUUUUGAUAUGAAAAUAUUAAAAUUCAGUUGAAAAUGUCAGUUCCUAUGGCUUAAUGAUGUAUAACUAUGAAUUUUAAGCAAAGGUCAAAAUCUAGAACGUCCAAUUAACCUAUGACCUUGACCUCAAUUUCAAGGUCAUAGACUAAACAUCUCAAAUAAAAAGACACUAGUUCCUUAAUAUGUAUGGUUCAUGAGUAAAAUCACUUUACGCAUAAUUCUUAAUAUAAGAGGGGCGAAAACUCCCUUUUUUGGUUUACGCACCCUUGCAACCAAAAUUUAUAAGUUACGACAUGUCGCAACUAACAAUUAAGUAAAAAAAAAAUGUCGAUAUCUUAUAAGGUUAAUGAAAAAAGGUGAAAAUAAGCCAAAAUCAAAAUUUAGAAUUUGACCUUGACCUUUGACCUUGACCUAAUUUUUUUUUUUUGGACCAAGGAUCUUAAAUCAAAAGACCCUAGGUCUCUAUCACUUAUAGUUUACCAGUUAGAAAUGCAUAUCACUGAUAUCAUAUAUAAAAGGGGGGAUUACUCUCAUAUGGAGUCUCCGGAUAGCUUCGGUUGAAAUGAAACAGAACAUCCUAAGGAUAUAACAAGCAAUUUGGAAAAAUAAAUUUGUCGGUUUCUUAUACGGUUGUGAAGGAGUAGUGGCCACAAGAAAAACAGUGUUCGGGGAGAUAACUCUUACAAGGUCAAGUUUUUUGUUACGCGGUGUCAGUUUCAGAAGCGCAUUAACUGUUCGAUAUCAUUUACCUUAUAUCUAAGCGAUAUCUUGUGAAACAAAAAAACAGCGAAGGAAAAAAAAGUUGGCGGAAGAAAAAAAAAAAAAAAAAUAAUAAUAAUUAAAAACCAAUUGUUCAGAGAACAAUUGUAGGUCUUUCCACUAGAAAAGAUCUUUUUUGAUAUUGAAAUAUUAAAAUUCAGUUUAAAAUGUUAGUUCCUAUGGCUGUAUGAUGUAUUUAUAUGAAUUUAAAGCAAAGGUCAAAAUCUAGAACGUCAUAUUAACCUAUGACCUUGACCUCAAUUUCAAGUUCACAAACCAAGGACCUUAAAUCAAAAGACCCAAGGUCUUUAAUAUGUUUGGUUUAUUAGUAAUAUCACUUUACGCGUAAUUCUAAAUGUAAGAUGGGCAAAAACUCCUAUUUAUUGUCUGCGCACCC